AUUGAACGCUGGCGGAAUGCUUUACACAUGCAAGUCGAACGGCAGCACGGGGGCAACCCUGGUGGCGAGUGGCGAACGGGUGAGUAAUACAACGGAACGAGCCCGGUCGUGGGGGAUAACGUAGCGAAAGAAACGCUAAUACCGAAUACGAUAUGUGGAUGAAAGCGGGGGACCCUAGGGACUCGCGCGCUCGGAGUGGCCGAUGUCAGAUUAGGUAGUUGGUGGGGUAAAGGCCUACCAAGCCGAUGAUCGGUACCUGAUCUGAGAGGACGACCGGCCACACUGGGACUGAGACACGGCCCCGACUCCUACGGGAGGCAGCAGUAGGGAAUUUUGGACAAUGGGCGCAAGCCUGAUCCAGCCAUGCCGCGUGCAGGACGAAGGCCUUCGGGUUGUAAACUGCUUUUGUAUGGAACGAAAAGGCUCUGGCUAAUACCUGGAGCUCAUGACGGUACCGUAAGAAUAAGCACCGGCUAACUACGUG
rnacentral:rRNA from 1 species